rnacentral:rRNA from 1 species
GAUGAACGCUGGCGGCGUGCCUAAUACAUGCAAGUCGAGCGAACGGACGAGAAGCUUGCUUCUCUGAUGUUAGCGGCGGACGGGUGAGUAACACGUGGAUAACCUACCUAUAAGACUGGGAUAACUUCGGGAAACCGGAGCUAAUACCGGAUAAUAUUUUGAACCGCAUGGUUCAAAAGUGAAAGACGGUCUUGCUGUCACUUAUAGAUGGAUCCGCGCUGCAUUAGCUAGUUGGUAAGGUAACGGCUUACCAAGGCAACGAUGCAUAGCCGACCUGAGAGGGGGACCGCCCCACCUGGAAUGGAACCACGGUCCAGACCCCUACGGGGGGCAGAAGUAGGGAACUUCCCGCAAGGGGGGAAAGCCUGACGGAGCAACGCCGCGGGGGUGAUGAAGGUUUUCGGACCGUAAAACUCUGUUAUUAGGGAAGAAAAUAUGUUUAAGUAACUGUGCACAUCUUGACGGACCCUAAUCAAAAAGCCCGGGCUAAUUACUG